GCGAUCCCCACUGGAGAGAGGCGGCACACGAUGCAGCCCACCGAAGGAGCAAACCGCAGCCUGCCCGCCCUACCGGGUGCCAGCAGGCCCGGUGAAUCUCUCAGGUAAAGCGGACAGCGGGGGCAGC
rnacentral:ncRNA from 2 species